CAACCCUAAGGCCUUUUUUUUUCCCCCNNUCAUGGGCNUCNGAGUUUCCUNCAUUUUACAAUAUUUCGCAANNGGCUNNCCGUAGGCNGUNCCGCCCCGCCCGCCGCGCGCGGCGGGCGGGGCGGGGGCACGGGGGGCCUACGGGAGGCAGCAGUGGGGAAUAUUGCACAAUGGAGGAAACUCUGAUGCAGCAAUGCCGCGUGUGUGAAGAAGGCCUUAGGGUUGUAAAGCACUUUCAGUAGGGAGGAAAAGUUUAAGGUUAAUAACCUUAGGCCCUGACGU
rnacentral:rRNA from 1 species